UACGUAGGGGGCGAGCGUUGUCCGGAAUUAUUGGGCGUAAAGCGCGCGCAGGCGGCUGUUUAAGUCUGGUGUUUAAUCCUGGGGCUCAACCCCGGGUCGCACUGGAAACUGGGCAGCUUGAGUGCAGAAGAGGAGAGUGGAAUUCCACGUGUAGCGGUGAAAUGCGUAGAGAUGUGGAGGAACACCAGUGGCGAAGGCGACUCUCUGGGCUGUAACUGACGCUGAGGCGCGAAAGCGUGGGGAGCAAACAGG
rnacentral:rRNA from 1 species